AUGCUCGCCGUCUGCGCGCGGCACGGGCCCGCCCAGCUCCCGCUCCCGCCGCUCGGGGGCGAACGUGUCGCCUGGGUCGCCGCCGGCAGGUGGUGGUGCUGGCGCCCCGCGGCGGCGCGCCGCGGCGUCGCCGCGCGGGCCUCGUCCUUCAAUUCCCGGAUCGGGCUCGAUUCCCAGAAUUCUCACACAAGGGACUUAUCCCAGCUGUUGUGGGUGGGUCCAGUGCCCGGCGACAUCGCAGAGAUUGAGGCAUACUGCCGCAUAUUCCGUGCUGCAGAGCAGCUCCAGAAUGCUGUCAUGUCGGCGCUCUGUGAUCCAGAGACAGGCGAGUGCCCUGUGCGGUACGAUGUGCCAUCCGAGGACCUGCCAGUGCUGGAGGACAAGGUUGCUGCUGUGCUUGGCUGCAUGCUGGCAUUGCUGAACCGGGGUAGGACAGAGGUGCUUGCUGGGCGGUCAGGUGUCACGAGCGCGUUCCAAGGAUCUGAGCACAGCACGAUGGAUAGGAUUCCGCCGCUGGCCCUGUUCCGUGGUGAUAUGAAGCGGUGUUGUGAGAGCAUGCAGGUUGCACUUGCUAGCUACCUUGUACCGAGUGAGCCCCGAGGAUUGGAUAUCUGGAUGAGGCUGCAAAGGUUGAAGAAUGCCUGCUAUGAUGCGGGUUUCGCAAGGGUUGAUGGUCAUCCCUGUCCAACAUUGUUUGCAAAUUGGUUUCCGGUGUACUUCUCAACUGUGCCAGAUGAUUCGGAGACAGAUGAGUUGGAGGUUGCAUUUUGGAGGGGAGGGCAAGUCAGUGAGGAGGGUCUGGCGUGGUUAUUGGCUAAGGGAUUCCGAACUAUUGUCGAUCUCCGGGAGGAAGAUGUUAAGGAUGAUUUAUAUCUUUCAGCAGUUGGCAAAGCUGUCUCAUCCGGAAAGAUAGAGGUGGUCAACAUGCCAGUUGAGAUUGGGACUUCUCCCUCAGCUGAACAGGUUCAGCAAUUUGCGGCGCUUGUGUCUGAUGGGACGAAGAAGCCCAUUUAUCUUCAUAGCAAGGAAGGGAUUAAUAGGACGUCUGCAAUGGUCUCCAGAUGGAAGCAGUAUGCCACUCGUGCAGAGAGACUGGCCACCAAAAAGCGUUCACCAAUUGUGAAUGGUAAGGCGCUGAAGAAUGAUCCGACAAAUGGCCUAGGUUCCUUGUCAAAUGGUAGUGAAAAUGGUGCAGUAGUGAAGUCUGAUAGAACCAUGGAUGCUGGGGAAGCACGUGAUAUAGACAUAGAAAUUACAAGUAAUAAUCCGGAAGUUACUAAUUCCCUUCCCAAUGGUCAAAGCACUGAACAAGGUGAAAUGCAUGACAGCAGGACAGAACUUCUUUCAGAUUUUAAACUGGAGACUAGUCCUCUCAAGGCACAGUUUCCUACUUGCAAUGUCUUCUCUAGAAAGGAGAUGACCAAAUUUUUUAGAAGCAAAAGAGUUUAUCCAAAAUCUGUUCUGAACUCUCGAAGACGAUCGAGUAGCUUGAUGAUCUCAAGGAGAAAACAAAAUCUCAGAGCUGAACAUAAUGAGGCCAUUGAUUGUGAAGCAGCAGACAUGAUGGUUUUGAAAAACGCAAAUGGGACAUUAUUUGAUAAUGAUUAUAUAUUAUCGGUUUCUUCAGGUAUCACUAAUAGAAAACCCUCGAACAAUGGAACCUCCACUUCUUUUGAAGAAAAGGGAAGUGCAGCUUCACUCCUAACUAUUGAUCCUAAAACAUCUAAUGCCAGCAAUCCCAAUGGGAAUGCUCAGCUUGGAUCACAAAAACCAUCCGAAAAGAAUGGUGGUCCUUAUCUUGAGAGAUACUCAUCAGAUACAAUUGAUGGAAGUAUUUGUGCCACAACUGGUGUUGUCAGAGUUCAGUCAAGAAGAAAAGCUGAGAUGUUUCUAGUACGUACAGAUGGAUUCUCUUGUACUAGAGAAAAAGUAACAGAAUCAUCUUUAGCUUUUACUCAUCCUAGCACCCAGCAACAGAUGCUUAUGUGGAAAUCUCCUCCAAAGACCGUCUUACUGUUGAAGAAAUUAGGUGAUGAGCUCAUGGAAGAGGCUAAAGAGGUUGCUUCGUUUCUGUAUCAUCAAGAAAAGAUGAAUGUUCUUGUGGAGCCUGAUGUUCAUGAUAUAUUUGCGAGGAUUCCUGGUUAUGGUUUUGUGCAAACCUUCUAUACUCAAGAUACCAGGUAUAACGACCUUCAUGAGAGAGUUGAUUUUGUCACAUGCUUGGGUGGUGAUGGGGUCAUAUUGCACGCAUCAAACUUAUUUAGGACUUCUGUACCACCUGUUGUCUCGUUCAAUCUUGGAUCUCUUGGAUUUCUGACUUCACAUAAUUUCGAAGGUUUCAGACAAGAUAUGAGAGCUGUCAUCCAUGGGAACAAUACACUUGGAGUUUAUAUAACACUUAGAAUGCGUCUACGCUGUAUAAUCUUUCGAAAUGGAAAAGCAAUGCCCGGGAAAGUGUUUGAUGUGCUAAAUGAAGUCGUUGUUGAUCGGGGUUCUAAUCCAUAUCUCUCAAAAAUUGAAUGCUAUGAGCAUAACCACCUUAUCACUAAGGUUCAAGGAGAUGGUGUGAUAGUAGCAACACCAACUGGCAGCACAGCAUACUCUACUGCAGCAGGGGGUUCAAUGGUGCAUCCAAAUGUGCCAUGUAUGCUGUUCACUCCAAUCUGCCCACACUCGCUGUCAUUUAGACCUGUCAUCCUUCCUGACUCUGCACGGCUUGAAUUGAAGAUCCCGGAUGACGCGAGAAGCAACGCGUGGGUGUCGUUCGACGGCAAAAGGCGGCAGCAGCUAUCGCGAGGAGACUCCGUUCAUAUAUCCAUGAGCGAGCACCCGCUCCCGACCGUGAACAAAUCGGACCAAACUGGGGACUGGUUCCGCAGCUUGAUCAGGUGCCUGAACUGGAACGAGAGGCUGGACCAGAAGGCGCUCUAG
rnacentral:rRNA from 1 species